rnacentral:rRNA from 1 species
AUGGAGAUUGCCAUGGGGGCUAUUGGCCCUCUCCUCCCGAAGCUCAGUGAGCUGCUCAUGGGAGAGCUCACCAUGGAGAAACAAGUGAGAGGCAUCGAGUCUCUCAUGACAGAGCUCACAUUGAUGCAUGCUGCCCUGAGUAAGGUGGCAGAAGUUCCCGUGGACCAGCUUCACAAGGGGGUCAAGAUUUGGGCAGGAAAUGUCAAGGAGUUGUCGUACCAAAUGGAGGAAAUUGUUGAUGUUUUCAUGGUGCGCGUGGAGGAUGGUGGCAAACCUGCCAACCCAAAGAACAAAGUCAAGAAGAUACUCAAGAAGUUGGCCGAGCUGCGCCAAAGGUAUGAUCAAGGGAUGCGAGAUCCUAGCACUAGUGCUAGUGUUGACCCUCGCAUGAUGGCCCUAUACACAGAUGUGUCUGAACUCGUCAGCAUUGAUGAAACACGAGAUGAGUUGAUAAACAUGUUGAUUGAAGGUGAUGAUUGGUUGAAGCAUCCAUUGAAGACAGUCUCUAUUGUUGGAUUUGGUGGGUUGGGCAAGACAACUCUUGCCAAAUCAGCGUAUGAGAAGAUCAAAGGGCAAUUCGACUAUGAUGCUUUUAUUUCGGUUUCUCAGAAUCCCAGCAAAAAGAAAGUCUUCAAGAAUAUUCUCUAUGAGCUUGACAAGAGCAAGUAUGCACGCAUUCAUAGUGAAGAAUGGGAAGAAAAUCAUCUGAUCGAUGAAAUAAUUGAAUUCCUUAAUGGCAAGAGACGAUGUGUCAAGAAUGCUCUUCUAUAA